CUCCCCUAACAAUGGGCAAACAAAGAGACACCUUGGUGGUGGUGGUGUUCUUAUAGCAGUCAGGGGCACAGCAGGUGGCAGUCCUUUGUUCAUCUUAGCUUGAUACCUGGUUUGAGGUCAAUGGUGCUUUAUACCUAGGACACAUAU